ensembl:lncRNA
CAGUGAAGUCUGUUUAGUGUGUUCAUUGUCAAGUCCAAUGCCUAAUGUGUGUCCUUUCACAGCCGAACCUACACACCCAGGGGCUGGCGCGCACACACUCCUCUUCCUCCCUGCCAGGUAACACACCCACACACUGCACGGACCGUUGCGUGCACUAUGUAUAAGGAGACGUCCACGUUUCAUUCUCGUAUCUUGGGCAUGCGCUUCUUACGUUUCUCUCCAGAUGCCCCACCAACAGCAACAGUGUUGAUCGUUUGCAUGUUUCAGACUUCGCAGGGGUUAGUGUGGCUCAGGUGACCCGAGGCUCCUCCCCUGGGCUGGGCGGAGACUAUUACCUCGAUCCCGAUGCCGCCAUGCCAGUGCGCCCCCUCCGAUCCCAGUCCUUCCACACCUCAGGUGCCUCCCAGCCCCACCCUCCUCCUGCCUCCCACUACCCACAAUACCCCAGCGCCGACGUUCGGCCCCUGCUAUUGCCCAACCAGAUGCCUGCCGUGCCCCUCCAGUACCCCCAACCGCCGUUCCUGCCCAACUCCCCCUACCCCUACCCGUACUUGGUCAACCAGGUGCCCCCGCAAGCCUUCGUCAACCCGCCUCCACACGCCCAACUCGCCAGCAGCUCCGCCCCCUAUCCCGCCCCCUCUCCCGCAGCUCAGCAAGCAGGGGGCGCCGCUCCGGACGACAGUAGCCCUCUGUCGCCCCCUGCUGCCCACAGCAUGCCUCCGAGCGUGCAGGCUCCCGGCCUGUGGCCCGGCCACUCUGAGCAGCCGCUCCUGUCCCUGGCCAACGUGCUGUCGCUGGCCAUGAGCGUGGCCCAGUCCCUCAUGCCCCCGGAGACUAUGGCCAGCAGCCUUCCACAGGGCUUCCUGCCAGGCUACGCACCCGCGUACGGGCCACGGCUCUCGGCCACGGGCCGAAACCAGGUGCCGAGCCAGCGGGGGGCGCCGCUAGCGGGCCAGCUCGCGGACGCGGGCCCGCACUCGGACAACCCCGCGCAGGCUCUGAGCCUCAGGCCAGAGCGGCGCGAGGAGAUCCCCGCGUCAGCUCAGCCAGGGAACGUGAGCUCAUCUGGGGGCUCGCAAGGAGUGGCUGCAGGGCCGCCCACAGCGGCCAGGCAGCCUACUGGGAGCCCGGCUGCAGGGCCCCUGGAGAGCCCCCGGGCGGAACUCCAGGCAGGCCUCAGAGAGCAGCAACAAAAGCAGGUGGAGAGGUCCUCCAUCUCCUCCUCUAGCUCCACCACUUUCUCCACCAGCUUCUCGAGCAGCUCCCGAGACUCCUCUACCUCAGUCAGCCCACAGAACACAGUAAGUACUACGCAGUACACACACAGCCUUCAAAAUGCUCCCAGAUUACCAGAGUUGUGCUCCU